rnacentral:lncRNA from 1 species
GGAACAAGUUGGAUUGCUCCGAAUUUCAGUGCCUAUCGGGCAGCCAGUGAACAUUUGUCCAUCUUUAAGGCAUUAAACUGAGAAGAACCACUGAGGAAAGCAUGCCACAGUCUUUCCCAAAAUCCCUGUGUCUUAAGGAACAACCAAGAAGUUAACUGGUCAGGGAAAAGAUUUCUUUUGGAACACAGAGAAUGAUGGGAGUUGUGAUCCAUACCUCCGUGUGCAUAAUGGUUGUACCUGCUCCAGGAAGGCGCUGGAUCCUCCCAACUCCAUGGCCUGUUCCAGCCACCGUGUCAACAUGCCUUGG